rnacentral:misc_RNA from 1 species
UGGCACUAGCAUCGAUGAAGAACGCAGCGAAAUGCGAUACGUAAUGUGAAUUGCAGAGCACAGUGAAUCAUCGAAUCUUUGAACGCACAUGGCGCCCGCCGGUAAUCCGGUGGGCAUGCCUGUCCGAGCGUCAUUUCAACCCUCAGAACCCCUUCGGGGCGUUACUGGUGUUGGGGAUCGAGGGCUUAGGCUCCCGUCCCUUAAAUCUAUUGGCGGCUCCGGAGUUGUCUCCCCUGCGUAGUACUGUACCUCGCUUUGGUGACUUCCCCGGGCUGCUGUGGCCCCGGCCGCGAAACCCCCCAGGUUGACCUCGGAUCAGGUAGGGAUACCCGCUGA